UAACGCGUGGGUAACCUGCCUUACACUGGGGGAUAACACUUAGAAAUAGGUGCUAAUACCGCAUAAGCGCACGAAGCCGCAUGGAUUUGUGUGAAAAACUCCGGUGGUGUAAGAUGGACCCGCGUCUGAUUAGCUUGUUGGCGGGGUAACGGCCCACCAAGGCGACGAUCAGUAGCCGGCCUGAGAGGGUGGACGGCCACAUUGGGACUGAGACACGGCCCAAACUCCUACGGGAGGCAGCAGUGGGGGAUAUUGGACAAUGGGGGGAACCCUGAUCCAGCGACGCCGCGUGAGUGAAGAAGUAUUUCGGUAUGUAAAGCUCUGUCAGCAGGGAAGAAAGAAAUGACGGUACCUGACCAAGAAGCCCCGGCUAACUACGUGCCAGCAGCCGCGGUAAUACGUAGGGGGCAAGCGUUAUCCGGAAUUACUGGGUGUAAAGGGAGCGUAGACGGUUAAGUAAGUCUGGAGUGAAAGGCCGGGGCCCAACCCCGGGACUGCUCUGGAAACUAUUGAACUUGAGUGCAGGAGAGGUAAGCGGAAUUCCUAGUGUAGCGGUGAAGUGCGUAGAUAUUAGGAGGAACACCAGUGGCGAAGGCGGCCUACUGGACUGUAACUGACGUUGAGGCUCGAAAGCGUGGGGAGCAAACAGGAUUAGAUACCCUGGUAGU
rnacentral:rRNA from 1 species